AAAUUCAAAGGCAUUUGGUCACUCACGAUCAUGAGGAUUUUAUUUAUAUCAGUCAUCAUGUUAUUAAUUGCAAUGACAUCGGGUUAUUGGAAAGAGGCUGUCAAACAAAAGGCUUACCUGGUGAGAGACACAGCCGUUAGAGUGCAGAAAGAUUUGACAGCAUUGAGGGGGAUACUGCAAUUCCAGGCGAGGAUUAAAUCGAAACUGGACUUAAAUUGCUAGCACAUGGAGUAACGCCUACAUCUAAGAAGAUUGGCACAAACUUACAAAAAUAUCGUGGACACAAUAAAACGCAUUUUAAUAUCACAAAUAUAUUUAUUGUAUUAUUGUA